UGGGGAAUUUUGGACAAUGGGCGAAAGCCUGAUCCAGCAAUGCCGCGUGUGUGAAGAAGGCCUUCGGGUUGUAAAGCACUUUUGUCCGGAAAGAAAUCCUUGGCUCUAAUACAGUCGGGGGAUGACGGUACCGGAAGAAUAAGCACCGGCUAACUACGUGCCAGCAGCCGCGGUAAUACGUAGGGUGCAAGCGUUAAUCGGAAUUACUAGGCGUAAAGCGUGCGCAGGCGGUUUGCUAAGACCGAUGUGAAAUCCCCGGGCUCAACCUGGGAACUGCAUUGGUGACUGGCAGGCUAGAGUAUGGCAGAGGGGGGUAGAAUUCCACGUGUAGCAGUGAAAUGCGUAGAGAUGUGGAGGAAUACCGAUGGCGAAGGCAGCCCCCUGGGCCAAUACUGACGCUCAUGCACGAAAGCGUGGGGAGCAAACAGGAUUAGAUACCCUGGUAGUCCACGCCCUAAAACGAUGUCAACUAGUUGUUGGGGAUUCAUUUCCUUAGUAACGUAGCUAACGCGUGAAGUUGACCGCCUGGGGAGUACGGUCGCAAGAUUAAAACUUAAAGGAAUUGACGGGGUCAUAGCUG
rnacentral:rRNA from 1 species